rnacentral:rRNA from 1 species
UGAGGGAUAUUGGUCAAUGGGGGAAACCCUGAACCAGCAACGCCGCGUGAAGGAAGAAGGCUUUCGGGUUGUAAACUUCUUUUAAGAGGGAAGAGCAGAAGACGGUACCUCUUGAAUAAGCCACGGCUAACUACGUGCCAGCAGCCGCGGUAAUACGUAGGUGGCAAGCGUUGUCCGGAUUUACUGGGUGUAAAGGGCGUGCAGCCGGGAGCCCAAGUCAGAUGUGAAAUCCCGCGGCUUAACCGCGGAACUGCAUUUGAAACUGGGUUUCUUGAGUACCGGAGAGGUCAUCGGAAUUCCUUGUGUAGCGGUGAAAUGCGUAGAUAUAAGGAAGAACACCAGUGGCGAAGGCGGAUGACUGGACGGCAACUGACGGUGAGGCGCGAAAGCGUGGGGAGCAAACAGGAUUAGAUACC